GGCAUGGUUUGGAACAGCAAGAAAUUGGAAAAAAAUCAAAGAGUCUUCAGUGGACAUCAGUUACCUAAGUUGGGGAACUCCCUCCAGCUUAGAGGUGUCUCCUCCCCAUAGGCCUCAGGCUGUUCUCAACCUCCACCCAGAGCAAAAGGGCUCUCAGAGGUCCCUGUGAGGCAAUAAAAGGAGAGAGAGCCGGGCUUGGUGUGAGAGACACGUGGGGAUUGAGCCUGUCCCAGCUGGGGACAUGACCCGGCCAAGGGAUAUACUGCGGAAAGGCAGCUUCCUCAUAUCUGAAUCUCAGCCGAGGUGGUGACAUCAGCCCAGCAUCCGGUCCCCCUUCUCCUGCCAACAGUGCCCCAAGCCCUCUGCAAGUUCCCCUCCCUCACUCCUGGCCCCUAGGGGACCCCAGCCGUACCUAUCUCACCUUGUUUCCUGGCCACAGUGAUUGAUGUCAGGAACAGGCACGUGACUCAGGGCAGACCAAGCAGAGCCAGGUCUGAUAUCUUUGUUGGAAAUAAUGGGAAAGUAGCAGGGAUGCCCCUCUUGGGGCAGCUAAGCUGGUGUUUCUAGUGGCCAUCUUACCACCAUGAGCAGGAGCUGCCUGAGAAUGAAGCCAGUCAGGGACAGAGCAGGUAGGGUGAAGCACUGACUCCUGAUGACCUUGUUUGGGCAUCAUGAUCAACCCAUGCCUGAAGCUGGUAUUCUCAAAACUUGUCAGUAACCUAAGCCUAGCCAG
ensembl:lncRNA